GGAUUGCCCUAGUAACGGCGAGUGAAGCGGCAACAGCUCAAAUUUGAAAUCUGGCUCCUUCCGGGGUCCGAGUUGUAAUUUGUAGAGGGUGCUUUGGCGUUGGCCAUGGUCUAAGUUCCUUGGAACAGGGCGUCACAGAGGGUGAGAAUCCCGUACGUGGCCGCUGGCCUUCGCCAUGUAAAGCCCCUUCGACGAGUCGAGUUGUUUGGGAAUGCAGCUCUAAAUGGGAGGUAAAUUUCUUCUAAAGCUAAAUAUUGGCCAGAGACCGAUAGCGCACAAGUAGAGUGAUCGAAAGAUGAAAAGCACUUUGGAAAGAGAGUCAAAAAGCACGUGAAAUUGUUGAAAGGGAAGCGCUUGCAGCCAGACUUGCCCGUAGUUGCUCAUCCAGGUUUCGGCCCGGUGCACUCUUCUGCGGGCAGGCCAGCAUCAGUUCAGGCGGUCGGAUAAAGGUUUCGGGAAUGUGGCUCUCUUCGGGGAGUGUUAUAGCCCGGGGCGUAAUGCGACCAGCCUGGACUGAGGUCCGCGCAUCUGCUAGGAUGCUGGCGUAAUGGCUGUAAGCGGCCCGUCUUGAAACACGGACCAAGGAGUCUAACAUCUAUGCGAGUGUUUGGGUGUCAAGCCCGAGCGCGUAAUGAAAGUGAACGGAGGUGGGAACCCGCAAGGGCGCACCAUCGACCGAUCCUGAUGUCUUCGGAUGGAUUUGAGUAAGAGCAUAGCUGUUGGGACCCGAAAGAUGGUGAACUAUGCCUGAAUAGGGUGAAGCCAGAGGAAACUCUGGUGGAGGCUCGCAGCGGUUCUGACGUGCAAAUCGAUCGUCAAAUUUGGGCAUAGGGGCGAAAGACUAAUCGA
rnacentral:rRNA from 1 species